rnacentral:rRNA from 1 species
AGCACGAGCGCAUGCUCAAGCUGAGAAAGGCGGCUUUCGAGCUGUCACUAAAGGAUGGGCCCGCGGUGCAUUAGCUAGUUGGUAAGGUAACGGCUUACCAAGGCGAUGAUGCAUAGCCGAGUUGAGAGACUGACCGGCCACAUUGGGACUGAGACACGGCCCAAACUCCUACGGGAGGCANCAGUAGGGAAUCUUCCACAAUGGACGCAAGUCUGAUGGAGCAACGCCGCGUGAGUGAANAAGGUUUUCGGAUCGUAAAGCUCUGUUGUUGGUGAANAAGGACAAGGGUAGUAACUGAUUCUUGUUUGACGGUAAUCAACCANAAAGUCACGGCUAACUACGUGCCAGCAGCCGCGGUAAUACGUAGGUGGCAAGCGUUGUCCGGAUUUAUUGGGCGUAAAGCGAACGCAGGCGGGANAAUAAGUCAGCUGUGAAAGCCCCCAGCUUAACUGGGGAAGUGCAACUGAAACUAUUUUUCUUGAGUGCANAAAAGGAGAGUGGAACUCCAUGUGUAGCGGUGGAAUGCGUAGAUAUAUGGAAGAACACCAGUGGCGAAGGCGGCUCUCUGGUCUGUAACUGACGCUGAGGUUCGAAAGCAUGGGUAGCGAACAGGAUUANAUACCCUGGUAGUCCAUGCCGUAAACGAUGAGUGCUAAGUGUUGGGAGGUUUCCGCCUC